UUACGGGAGGCAGCAGUGGGGAAUUUUGCGCAAUGGGGGAAAACCUGACGCAGCAACGCCGCGUGGAGGAUGAAGUCCCUUGGGACGUAAACUCCUUUCGAUCGGGACGAUAAUGACGGUACCGGAAGAAGAAGCCCCGGCUAACUUCGUGCCAGCAGCCGCGGUAAGACGAGGGGGGCAAGCGUUGUUCGGAAUUAUUGGGCGUAAAGGGCGCGUAGGCGGCGUCGCAAGUCCGUGGUGAAAUCUCUAGGCUCAACUUAGAGACUGCCGCGGAAACUGCGGUGCUUGAGUGUGGGAGAGGUGCGUGGAAUCCCCGGUGUAGCGGUGAAAUGCGUAGAUAUCGGGAGGAACACCUGUGGCGAAAGCGGCGCACUGGACCACAACUGACGCUGAGGCGCGAAAGCUAGGGGAGCAAACAGGAUUAGAUACCCUGGUAC
rnacentral:rRNA from 1 species